rnacentral:rRNA from 1 species
UGGGGAAUUUUGCGCAAUGGGCUAACGCCUGACGCAGCAACGCCGCGUGGAGGAUGAAGGUCUUUGGAUUGUAAACUCCUGUCAGCAGGGAAAAAGCGACCUGACCUCAUACGUCAGGGAGUUGAUUGUACCUGCAGAGGAAGCCCCGGCUAACUCUGUGCCAGCAGCCGCGGUAAUACAGAGGGGGCAAGCGUUAUUCGGAAUUAUUGGGCGUAAAGGGCGCGUAGGCGGCCUGGCAAGUGGAAGGUGAAAUCCCUCGGCUUAACCGAGGAACUGCCUUCCAGACUGCUUGGCUUGAGACCAGGAGAGGUGAGUGGAAUUCCCAGUGUAGCGGUGAAAUGCGUAGAUAUUGGGAGGAACACCAGUGGCGAAGGCGGCUCACUGGACUGGUACUGACGCUGAGGCGCGAAAGCGUGGGGAGCAAACGGG